GCAAGGCAGGUAUACUGGCAAUGCAUUCCCUCACCUUUUAUUUGCCUGAGAGAGUCUUUAUUUUACCUUCAUUUUAAAGACAAUUUCAUAAGAGGUUCAUUUUAUAGAUUCAAUCUUCUCCUUCCCUUCAGAAAUAUUUAGGUUACCAACCUGGUGUGAAGCAUUUCACCAAUGCUUUUCCUUUAGUUAAUUCCCACAACUCUGAGAGAUAGGUGGUAUUAUCUUCCUAUUUCUGAUGCAAAAACUGUAAUUCAGAGAAGUAAAGUGACUAGCUUGAGGAUACAGAGCAAAUAAAUUGCAGAACCUCGAUUAAAACCUAUUCUUAAGACUUAGCCUCAUCUUUUAUUUAACAGACUCAGUUAUUUCUUGCGCAUUCACUUUUAUGAAUUUCUAUUGCAGGACAAAAGUCUUCAUGCUGGAAUUCAAACUAACUUGAGAGAAAGAUGCCCAUAUGAAGGGCUUGGUCAUCAGGACAGCAAACUGUCUUUUCAAAACCAAAACUGUGAUCUUCAGGUAGGCUGAGAUCAUGCAUCUGGAUAUUUUUCCAUAUGAUUGCUUUUAGCUCUAUUGAACAAAAUUAUUUCUAUUGAAAAAGCAAGGACAGAGUGAACAUAUUUAGUGGUAUUAAAAUGUAGAUCUAAAAAUGAUCAAAAUGGUAAAUUUUGUUAUGCAUAUUUUAGUACAAUAAAAAUGAGUUAUCAUAAAUCAAAAACCAAAUUAUAUCUUUUAAGUUUUAUUUUGAUACUGGGGAUUAAACCCAGGUGUGCUUAACCACUGAGCCACAUUCCCAGAGACAGAGUCUCACUAAGUUGUUUAGGGUCUCACUUGGUUGCUGAGGCUGGAUUUGAACUCACGAUCCUUCUGUCUCAGCCUCCUGAGCCACUGUGAUUACAGGCAUGCUCCAUCAUGCCCAGCUAAAUUGUAUUUUUUCAUACUCAGAUUUUCCAGGGUCAAUAAUGAGAGCCCUACACAUAAGACCCAAAGAAGAAAUUGGUUUUAGAUAAAAUAUCCUUAUGUUGUAGGUUGUGUUUUUAGUUACAUUUGCCCUUUUCAUCAAUGUAGAUACACAGAGAGGAGGAAAAAAGUAUCUAAUAUUAAUUGCAUAGAGCUGUGCUUUAAUGAUGCAGUAGCCACUAGUCAUGCAUUUUUAUGGAUACUUGGAAAAGUAAUUUGAAUUAAGACAUACUAUAAUACACAUCCUAUUUCAAAGACAGAGUAUAUGAAAAUCAUUAAUGAUUUUACUAUUGAUUACAUGUUGAGAUGACUAUGUUUUAAUAUGGCAGGUUAAAUAAACUAUUUUAUCAAGAUUAAUUUUUAUCUGCCUUUAAAAAUGUAGUUACUAGAAAUCUUUAAAUGGCAUAUGUGGCUGGUACUAUAUUUCUAUUAGAUGGUACUGGUAGAGAAGCAAUGGAACAUAAUGCUUGAAAGCACUGACUCUGGAGCCAAAUGACUGUAUUUGAGAAUUAGCUUCAUGUCUUACUGGUUGUAUGAUCUUGGGUGAGUAACUUCUCUGUGCCUCAAUUUUCCACUCUGCAACAUUUCCUAGAAUGUUGAGCAUGAAAUGAAGGACUGACACAUUUUUGCUCAGUUGGUAGUAUAAAUGUACCUUUGGACACAACUACAAAGAUCUAUGUGGUAAAGAUUCAGUGUAUAUUAUCUGUAAACAGAGUUCAAGUAUUCAUUAGUUAGGACUUGGGACUUCUAUUGACAUUAAUUAUCCAGGUAUAAGUAUACUUUCAGGUUUUGAGAAACCCCUUAGUCCUAUUUUUUUUUAUCCUUCUCUCUGACAAUGUUUCAAUGUAUAUAUUUACGUAACUGGGUGGAAAUUAGAUGUGAACACUCAGAAGUUUCAGUCUGCAGCAGAAAUAUAAACAUGAUGCUCUUUUGACUUAAUGCCUCCCCAGAAAUAGACAUGGUUGCCAAAGCCCACGUUCUCCCUUUCUCAUUCUCACAGGUCUCUGAGGCUCCUCCUGCUUAUGAGAAACUUUCUACAGGACCGUCACCUCCACCUUACUCACCCUGAGAGCCAGCAAAGCCAUCUGAGAAGUGCUGAAAUGCUUUCCCUCACACUUUUGCUUUAACUUACUUUUGACAUCUAAUGUUCUACUUUAAAAUGAACAACAAUGUACAUAUCUAAUAGGCCAGUGUUAAAUUCUUAACAGGACAACUAGCAGUACUAAUCAAGUGAGGAAAUGAUGAAAAAUAUUAAAAUGGAAAGGCUUCAUCAAUAUCUACUGUCUGUACUAGUAGUAAUGCUAUUAAAUCCAUUAUUUUAUGAAUAAUAGAACUCAAGUGGAUGUUCUGGGACUAUCUAAAUUUUUUUUAAAUUGAAAUUCGGCUAACUUAUAAACUUUUAUUCAGAUUUUUAAAGUAGCAACCUCUUGACCAACAUGAAAUGUACAGAGAAUUGUGGCAGGUGUUAUAGCCUGCUCACAAAGGACAUUUACAAGCUUAAAACUAAGAACUGAAGGACCUACUUAUCUGAUCUGGACCAUGUCAGCCACACCACUUCAUAUAUAAUAAAAGAUCCCCACCUUCAGUAAUAUAUAUAAUGAAGUUAUAAUUACAUUUUACUUUAAGGGUCAAUGUUAUCAUAAUUAAGGAUAAGAAUCUUCUCUUAAACCAAAAAGUGGUUUAAGGAUUUAAAUAAGCAAAAGUCACUAAAGUUUGACUCUGUCUGUGUACAGUCUUAAGUGUCCCCAUGGCAGUUUAGCUAUUUUCAGGUUCCAGAAUCUCUCAAACAAGAACAUACAAAAGAAACCAUAAAGAAUAAGAGAUUAUUGAGCUGUAUCAUUAUUUGUAUAGCAACAGUGCAAUUUGCUUUUCUGCAUGUUCACAUAUCACACUAUUUAUUAUCUAGUUUUUUUAGUUAGCACAUUAAAUAAAACAUUUGGCCAAAAUAAAAUAAAAAAUAAAUAAAACAUUUGGUCAAAAUUUAUACCCACUACCUUAAAUGGAAAACUAGCAUCAUUUUCCAUAAACAGAGGAUAACUAUAAAAAUGAAGAUAAUAAAAGCAGAUUAUUUUUAUUAAAACCUAGGAAGACAUUGAUGGUUGUAGAAAGCUGUGAACCUGAGACCUGCUUUCUUGGCUAAAGAGGGAGAUUACCAAGAGUCAGAGAAAACUUACAGGCUGCUGUUGACAUAAUCAGAAGGUUUGCAAGUUUUAAAACAAUGGCUUUAUCACUGUGUGAUCUACUGUUAUUUAAUGCUGAGUUGCUAAACCACCUAAAAUCAUUUUGUGUCACUGGAAACAUAAGCAUAACAUUAACCAAAGA
rnacentral:lncRNA from 1 species